rnacentral:rRNA from 8 species
ACUUUCAACAACGGAUCUCUUGGUUCUGGCAUCGAUGAAGAACGCAGCGAAAUGCGAUAAGUAGUGUGAAUUGCAGAAUUCAGUGAAUCAUCGAAUCUUUGAACGCACAUUGCGCCCCUUGGUAUUCCAUGGGGCAUGCCUGUUCGAGCGUCA